GACGAACGCUGGCGGUGUGCCUAAUACAUGCAAGUAGAACGCUGAAGGAGGAGCUUGCUCUUCUGGAUGAGUUGCGAACGGGUGAGUAACGCGUAGGUAACCUGCCUGGUAGCGGGGGAUAACUAUUGGAAACGAUAGCUAAUACCGCAUAACAGUAGAUGUUGCAUGACAUUUACUUAAAAGGUGCAAUUGCAUCACUACCAGAUGGACCUGCGUUGUAUUAGCUAGUUGGUGGGGUAACGGCUCACCAAGGCGACGAUACAUAGCCGACCUGAGAGGGUGAUCGGCCACACUGGGACUGAGACACGGCCCAGACUCCUACGGGAGGCAGCAGUAGGGAAUCUUCGGCAAUGGACGGAAGUCUGACCGAGCAACGCCGCGUGAGUGAAGAAGGUUUUCGGAUCGUAAAGCUCUGUUGUAAGAGAAGAACGAGUGUGAGAGUGGAAAGUUCACACUGUGACGGUAUCUUACCAGAAAGGGACGGCUAACUACGUG
rnacentral:rRNA from 1 species